AUGCUUUCAUGCUGCCGCUUAGCUCACGAGAGGCAAGACGGAUUUCCACGUGCGGUGCGGCACGGUGCGGUGCAGCCCGCCGGAAGCUCACCCGCCACGGCCUCUCCCUCCCACGUGACACCCCGGGUAGUGCCCCGCCCCGCCCUGCAUCAAACGCCGGCCGGGGCCGCGGCGCGCGCGCUCGGUAGACUCCUCCCCUCGCCCCCUCCCUCUCUGGGGGGCGUCUCACCAUGUCGGGCAAGGAGCAGCAGUACGGGACCCCCGGCGCGAGAGCGGGGCCGGCGCGAGAGCAGGAGGCCGCGCGGCUGCAGGAGGAGUUAAAGUCUCUUCAGCAGAUGCAUUCAUCCCUGAGAGCCCUCCAUCAAAUGGUUACCUCCUGUAAUGAGGUAAACUGCAUGCACAUUUACAAAGUUCUAUGAACAUAAAUUCUCUUUGCUGGUUGGGUAUAUCUAGGCACAGCAUAACAAUUAAGAAGCAUGAUGUGGAAUGGGAAACUUUUUGAAAUCUUGAGUUUUUUUGCAGGACAGGAAGAGAGUUUCCCACCCAGCCGUAGUCCUGGUGUCCUCACAGAACACCUCGUGGGAAUCUCCCUGCACUUAUAAGAAGGGGUAUAAAGCUUGACUGUGUGCGUGUGCGUGCUGACUACAAAUGUCGCAGUUUGGCACAAGGAGGCAGACCUAUUUAGGGUUUUAUAAGUCAUAACCACCGACAUAAACUGUAUCUGGAGANUAGUUUUUUUGCAGGACAGGAAGAGUGUUUCCCACCCAGCCGUAGUCCUGGUGUCCUCACAGAACACCCUGUGGGAAUCUCCCUGCACUUAUAAGGGGUAUAAAGCUUGACUGUGUGCAUGCUGACUACAAAUGUCGCAGUUUGGCACAAGGAGGGAGACCUGUUUAGGGUUUUAUAAGUCAUAACCACCGACAUAAACUGUAUCUGGAGACCAAUGGACCACCAGUGCAGAUUCCAGAGUACUGGUGUCAUACGUCCCAAUGAAACAGUGCUCAGUUAACAGGUUUGAGUGGUAGCCAUGUUAGUCUGUAUCAGCAAAAAGAAUGAGUACUUGUGGUACCUUAGAGACUAACAAAUUUAUUUGGGCAUACUGUAUUCUGUACUAGCUUCAGUCUCCAAAAAGUUUUAAAUAAGAUCUGUGGUUUGAAUGCUUUCAAAGUGACCAAACCACUGCAGAACUCACUACAACUAGCAGUUUCUAGGUGUGGCUUAGCAUUGGAAUGGAAUCUAGAGCUAGAAAAAAGUAUUAGGUCAUCUUGUCCAUUUUCCUGGCGAUGCAAAAUUGAUAUACCACUGUUUUACAAAUUACUAG
rnacentral:lncRNA from 1 species